AUGCAGCGCAGGGUUCCCCCACCACACCCCAUAGCUGUCUCCCCCGGCCCCUCGCAGACCCCUCCCUCCACCUCCGAAAUGCUCAAGUUUACCUCUUUCUCCAGAGCAAAGUUCAGAAGCCAACCCCUUGUCACCACUGUGGACAGGAACGUGGACCAGCCACCCUGUUUCCAGCCUGGGGGCGAGGCAUACAGUGGAAAGGACACAAGGAUGACGCAGUCUUCCUCCCGGAGCUCCCGAGAGAACAGGGGGCUUAGUGGAAACACCACACACCUGGCUGGAUCUUGUCAGGUGGAGACACCGGGGGCCGUUUCUUUCCAGUCCUGGAAGACCUGGAGUUCCUUCUCGGCAGCUUUGCUCGGCCUGCUUCGGAGCGGUAAGUCCGGCUCCUCCUGCCACAUCUUCGCAGGCUGAUUCU
rnacentral:lncRNA from 1 species